AGUAUGAUACACUGGGAACCUCUGUCAAGGCUGCUCUUGUAUACCUUGGGACGGCUUUAGUUAAGCUGGUUUGCCUAGCAACUUUUCUCAAAGUAUCAGAAAAUGAGAGCUUUGAUCCUUACCAGGAAUUGCUGAAAGCUCUGAUUGGUUUAUAGAUGUAGCAGGGCUCUACUUUGCCUUAACACAGCUGACUCAUAGGAAUAUAUCACAAAACCAUAAGUUCCAAGCUGUAGGCCUUGGAUGGGCUUUCGCGAUUCUGUCUUACAUAGGCUAGCACCCCUUUGGGUUGGUGCCCG